GCUGGCGGCGUGCCUAAUACUGCAAGUCGAGCCGGACAGUAUGGGAGCUUGCUCCCUGAUGUUAGCGGCGGACGGGUGAGUAACACGUGGGUAACCUGCCUGUAAGACUGGGAUAACUCCGGGAAACCGGGGCUAAUACCGGAUGCUUGUUUGAACCGCAUGGUUCAAACAUAAAAGGUGGCUUCGGCUACCACUUACAGAUGGACCCGCGGCGCAUUAGCUAGUUGGUGAGGUAAUGGCUCACCAAGGCAACGAUGCGUAGCCGACCUGAGAGGGUGAUCGGCCACACUGGGACUGAGACACGGCCCAGACUCCUACGGGAGGCAGCAGUAGGGAAUCUUCCGCAAUGGACGAAAGUCUGACGGAGCAACGCCGCGUGAGUGAUGAAGGUUUUCGGAUCGUAAAGCUCUGUUGUUAGGGAAGAACAAGUACCGUUCGAAUAGGGCGGUACCUUGACGGUACCUAACCAGAAAGCCACGGCUAACUACGUGCCAGCAGCCGCGGUAAUACGUAGGUGGCAAGCGUUGUCCGGAAUUAUUGGGCGUAAAGGGCUCGCAGGCGGUUCCUUAAGUCUGAUGUGAAAGCCCCCGGCUCAACCGGGGAGGGUCAUUGGAAACUGGGGAACUUGAGUGCAGAAGAGGAGAGUGGA
rnacentral:rRNA from 1 species